rnacentral:rRNA from 1 species
GACGAACGCUGGCGGCGUGCUUAACACAUGCAAGUCGAGCGAUGAAAUCCCUUCGGGGAUGGAUUAGCGGCGGACGGGUGAGUAACACGUGGGUAACCUGCCUCAAAGAGGGGGAUAGCCUCCCGAAAGGGAGAUUAAUACCGCAUAACAUUAGUUUUUCGCAUGGAGAACUAAUUAAAGGAGUAAUCCGCUUUGAGAUGGACCCGCGGCGCAUUAGCUAGUUGGUGAGGUAACGGCUCACCAAGGCGACGAUGCGUAGCCGACCUGAGAGGGUGAUGGGCCACAUUGGAGAUGAGACACGGUCCAGACUCCUACGGGAGGCAGCAGUGGGGAAUAUUGCACAAUGGGCGAAAGCCUGAUGCAGCAACGCCGCGUGAGUGAUGAAGGCCUUCGGGUUGUAAAGCUCUGUCUUUUGGGACGAUAAUGACGGUACCAAGGGAGGAAGCCACGGCUAACUACGUGCCAGCCGCCGCGGUAA